rnacentral:sRNA from 2 species
AUUACCACGCGAGCACUCCGGGUCUGAGCGCGCCGUCCACCCACACCUGACGACUGCUCGCUACGUUGUGGUAGCC